AGCGGGGUGGAGCAGUGGUCAGCUCGUCGGGCUCAUAACCCGGAGGUCGCUGGUUCGAAUCCAGCCCCCGCUACUA
rnacentral:tRNA from 1 species